CCUACGGGCGGCAGCAGUGGGGAAUAUUGCACAAUGGGGGAAACCCUGAUGCAGCGACGCCGCGUGAGUGAAGAAGUAUUUCGGUACGUAAAGCUCUAUCAGCAGGGAAGAAAAUGACGGUACCUGAAGAAGAAGCCCCGGCUAACUACGUGCCAGCAGCCGCGGUAAUACGUAGGGGGCAAGCGUUAUCCGGAUUUACUGGGUGGAAAGGGGGCGCAGACGGCGAUGCAAGCCAGGAGUGAAAGCCCGGGGCCCAACCCCGGGACUGCUCUUGGAACUGCGUGGCUAGAGUGCAGGAGGGGCAGGCGGAAUUCCUGGUGUAGCGGUGAAAUGCGUAGAUAUCAGGAGGAACACCGGUGGCGAAGGCGGCCUGCUGGACUGCAACUGACGUUGAGGCCCGAAAGCGUGGGGAGCAAACAGGAUUAGAUACCCCUGUAGUC
rnacentral:rRNA from 1 species